CGCCCUUAGAGUUUGAUCAUGGCUCAGAUUGAACGCUGGCGGCAGGCCUAACACAUGCAAGUCGAGCGGUAACAGGAAGGAAGCUUGCUUUCUUUGCUGACGAGCGGCGGACGGGUGAGUAAUGCCUGGGAAUAUGCCUUAGUGUGGGGGAUAACUAUUGGAAACGAUAGCUAAUACCGCAUAACGUCUUCGGACCAAAGAGGGGGACCUUCGGGCCUCUCGCGCUAAGAUUAGCCCAGGUGGGAUUAGCUAGUUGGUGAGGUAAAGGCUCACCAAGGCAACGAUCCCUAGCUGGUCUGAGAGGAUGAUCAGCCACACUGGAACUGAGACACGGUCCAGACUCCUACGGGAGGCAGCAGUGGGGAAUAUUGCACAAUGGGGGAAACCCUGAUGCAGCCAUGCCGCGUGUAUGAAGAAGGCCUUCGGGUUGUAAAGUACUUUCAGUCGUGAGGAAGACAUUGUAGUUAAUAGAGUAGUAUCUUGACGUUACCUACAGAAGAAGGACCGGCUAACUCCGUGCCAGCAGCCGCGGUAAUACGGAGGGUCCAAGCGUUAAUCGGAAUUACUGGGCGUAAAGCGCAUGUAGGUGGUUGAUUAAGUCAGAUGUGAAAGCCCGGAGCUUAACUCCGGAAUUGCAUUAGAAACUGGUUAACUAGAGUACUGUAGAGGAAGGUAGAAUUUCAGGUGUAGCGGUGAAAUGCGUAGAGAUCUGAAGGAAUACCAGUGGCGAAGGCGGCCUUCUGGACAGAUACUGACACUCAGAUGCGAAAGCGUGGGUAGCAAACAGGAUUAGAUACCCUGGUAGUCCACGCUGUAAACGAUGUCUACUUGGAGGUUGUGGCCUUGAGCCGUGGCUUUCGGAGCUAACGCGUUAAGUAGACCGCCUGGGGAGUACGGUCGCAAGAUUAAAACUCAAAUGAAUUGACGGGGGCCCGCACAAGCGGUGGAGCAUGUGGUUUAAUUCGAUGCAACGCGAAGAACCUUACCUACUCUUGACAUCCAGAGAAUUCGCUAGAGAUAGCUUAGUGCCUUCGGGAACUCUGAGACAGGUGCUGCAUGGCUGUCGUCAGCUCGUGUUGUGAAAUGUUGGGUUAAGUCCCGCAACGAGCGCAACCCCUAUCCUUGAUUGCCAGCGAGUAAUGUCGGGACUUCAGGGAGACUGCCGGUGAUAAACCGGAGGAAGGUGGGGACGACGUCAAGUCAUCAUGGCCCUUACGAGUAGGGCUACACACGUGCUACAAUGGCGCAUACAGAGGGCAGCCAACCAGCGAUGGUGAGCGAAUCCCAAAAAGUGCGUCGUAGUCCGGAUUGGAGUCUGCAACUCGACUCCAUGAAGUCGGAAUCGCUAGUAAUCGUAGAUCAGAAUGCUACGGUGAAUACGUUCCCGGGCCUUGUACACACCGCCCGUCACACCAUGGGAGUGGGUUGCAAAAGAAGUAAGUAGCUUAACCUUCGGGAGGGCGCUUACCACUUUGUGAUUCAUGACUGGGGUGAAGUCGUAACAAGGUAACCGUAAAGGGCG
rnacentral:rRNA from 1 species